UAAAAAUAUUCCAUAUAAUUUAUAUGGAAAUCCGAUGAAAGUCGUGAAUCGUACUGCUUGAAGCUGAAGGAAUAGUUGUGUCCUCGAUAUUCGUCAACUUCUCCAGACCAUUUUUUUUCAGGAAGUUCCGCAUCUCAAUGUAAUUUUAAAUCGCUGAAAAAACAGCUCAUCCAACUUCGUUCAAGGAUAUGCGUUAACGGACCAUGGAAUAUAUAUCCGUCUCGGGAUCUCACCAAAUACAAAUAAUAAUACCCCUAGGUCACAUACAAACGCAUCUCCAAUGUUUGGUUCAUAGAUUGAGCAAGUUAGCGUAGCCUAAUUUACUGUUUGGAGUUGACAGAAUAAUCGUUAAGAAAUAUAAAGUAUCUGGCAACGAAAUCACGGAAGACCGUAGUUGCUACGACACGAAUUUAA